rnacentral:lncRNA from 1 species
UGGCGACUCACUGACAAACAAGUUGCACUUCCUGAAGAGAGUGUGCAACUAUGGUCCACUGAAAGAGACAUCCAGAAAGUGGCUGUCAAUGACAGAAGUGAGAAAUAAGACUGCAGGACUUACUUAGAAGCCACAUUUUUCUUCUGGUCCAUAAACUGUGAAUCUUUGUAUGGUUUGCAAAACCAACGACCCCAGAGGUCAAGCAGG